GUGCUAAUAAUUACAAAAAAGGCAAAAAAUAAUGCAUUGUCUUCUUUGUUUAGUCUUAAGCCUAUCUUAUGAAAAUUCAAAGAUAAUUAAUAAAAUUAUGGAGGAGUUAAGUGCUCACUCACCAGGAAGAUUUUCUAAAUGGGUAUAACAUAUCCCCUCAUCGCCUUCAAGAGUCGAAAUGAAAUCAUCAAUGAACACAUGUGGUUUGGAAUUUCCUACCCCAACUCUUGCAGCCAAAUGUUCUAACAGCUCUACAUCAGGUGGAUCAAAUUUUACACCAGCAGGGAGCUCAAGCCAUUCAUUAAUUAUCUAAAUAGGAUGAAAGUCUUG
rnacentral:lncRNA from 1 species